UCCAUGUUCAGUCAUUCGAUUUGCAAUGGCAAGUGUUCUUGCAAAGUACUCGUCAAAAGUUUAAAUUUCUCCCAUUGCAAGAACUUAUAAUUCUUUGUGCAACGAGUGCAAAUGUCUUAGGUUGUGUUACACAUGAUGAUGGUUUCCAAGAUCAACCUAUCAAUGGACUGGAACAUAUAGUUCUUGGCCUUUAAGUCUGUCAAUUUACUCUCCUUCGUAACCUUCAAUUGUUCUUGAGUUGUAUCUAAAGGUGGCACCAUGAUACUGUUUUCGAU
rnacentral:lncRNA from 1 species